ACCCUCCUACGGGGGGCAGCAGUGAGGAAUAUUGGUCAAUGGGCGGAAGCCUGAACCAGCCACGUCGCGUGAGGGAAUAAGGCCCUACGGGUCGUAAACCUCUUUUGCCGGGGAGCAAGGGCCGGGACGCGUCCCCGCCCGGAGAGUACCCGGAGAAAAAGCAUCGGCUAACUCCGUGCCAGCAGCCGCGGUAAUACGGAGGAUGCGAGCGUUAUCCGGAAUUAUUGGGUUUAAAGGGUGCGUAGGCGGUCUUUUAAGUCAGCGGUAAAAAU
rnacentral:rRNA from 1 species